CAGCUCAAAGCUUGUUGUUGUGGCAUCUUCAGGAGGCUGAAUUUCCAGGUUUUUCUUCUCUUGAAGCUUGGAGUUGGAGGGAGAUUCUCUUCACCGGCGGAUCCUCGGAGAGAUUAGAGGAGAAGAUCAAGUUUAGGUCUGGGUUGUGUCAGAGAGUCGUAUUGUCUGCGUUAUCAGUAUCUUGUUAUUACCUGCUUGUGAGUGUAAGACUUGUAUUCUGAUUGUAUUUGUAAUUUGCGAACUGUUGGGUUGUAUUUGUAUUCUGUAGGGCUGCUAAAGUCCGUACUUGUAGUAUUUUAAAUUU